rnacentral:rRNA from 1 species
GUGCCAGCCGCCGCGGUGAUACCGGCAGCCCGAGUGAUGGCCGAUCUUAUUGGGCCUAAAGCGUCCGUAGCUGGCUGCGCAAGUCCGUCGGGAAAUCCACUCGCCCAACGAGUGGGCGUCCGACGGAAACUGCACAGCUUGGGGCCGGAGGACCCGAGGGGUACGUCCGGGGUAGGAGUGAAAUCCUGUAAUUCCGCACGGACCACCGAUGGCGAAAGCACUUCGAGAAAACGGAUCCGACAGUGAGGGACGAAAGCCAGGGUCUCCAACCGGAUUAGAAACCCUGGUAGUCC